rnacentral:rRNA from 1 species
ACGGCUCAGUAACACGUGAUCAACUUACCCUAUAGAGGAAAAUAACCUCGGGAAACUGAGGAUAAUGUUCCAUAGUUGAAUCGGCUUGGAAAAGUUUUUCAAUAAAAGGGAUAAGGAAAAUGGUUCUUAUCUGCUAUAGGAUAGGAUCGUGCUCGAUUAUGGUUGUUGGUGAGGUAAAGGCUCACCAAGCCGAUAAUCGAUAGGGGCCGUGAGAGCGGGAGCCCCGAGAUGGGUACUGAGACAACGACCCAGGCCUUACGAGGCGCAGCAGGCGCGAAACCUCCGCAAUACACGAAAGUGUGACGGGGUUACCCAAAGUGUUCUAUUUAGAACUGUGGUAGGUGAGUAAUGUCCCCUACUAGAAAGGAGAGGGCAAGGCUGGUGCCAGCCGCCGCGGUAAAACCAGCUCUUCAAGUGGUCGGGAUAAUUAUUGGGCUUAAAGUGUCCGUAGCCGGUUUAGUAAGUUCCUGGUAAAAUCGGGUAGCUUAACUAUCUAUAUGCUAGGAAUACUGCUAUACUAGAGGGCGGGAGAGGUCUGAGGUACUACAGGGGUAGGGGUGAAAUCUUAUAAUCCUUGUAGGACCACCAGUGGCGAAGGCGUCAGACUGGAACGCGCCUGACGGUGAGGGACGAAAGCCAGGGGAGCGAACCGGAUUAGAUACCCGGGUAGUCCUGGCCGUAAACGAUGCAUACUAGGUGAUGGCACGGCCAUGAGCCGUGUCAGUGCCGUAGGGAAACCGUUAAGUGUGCCGCCUGGGAAGUACGGUCGCAAGGCUAAAACUUAAAGGAAUUGGNGGGGGAGCACCACANGGGUGAANCCUGNGNUUCAAUUGGANUCAACGCCGG